rnacentral:lncRNA from 1 species
GUCCUAAGCUUCGCUUUGCCCGAUUUAUCCCUAUUUUGUGGUAUGUGUAAUCAUUAUGGUAAAAUAUGUAACCAAAAUUUUGAACUGUGUAUCGAUUUAUUAUUAUUAUAUUUUAUUGCAUGCUCUAAAUAUAACAAACAUCUUAUUUAGUUAUUUGAUGUAUUUAUUUUGUGGCAGGAAAUGACUGUAUCGACUCGAAAUACUGCUAGAAGAAGGAGAUCCAAGG